AUUGAACGCUGGCGGCAGGCCUAACACAUGCAAGUCGAACGAGUGGCGGACGGGUGAGUAAUGUCUGGGAAACUGCCCGGUGGAGGGGGAUAACUACUGGAAACGGUAGCUAAUACCGCAUACCAUCGGAUGUGCCCAGCUGGGAUUAGCUAGUCGGUGGGGUAAUGGCUCACCUAGGCGACGAUCCCUAGCUGGUCUGAGAGGAUGACCAGCCACACGGGAAGUGAGACACGGUCAAGACUCCUACGGGAGGGAGCAGUGGGGAAUAUUGCACAAGGGGCGAAAGCCUGAUGAAGCCAGGCGGCGUGUAGGAAGAAGGCCUUCGGGUUGUAAAGUACUUUCAGAGAGGAGGCGUUACUCGCAGAAGAAGCACCGGCUAACUCCGUGCCAGCAGCCGCGGUAAUUC
rnacentral:rRNA from 1 species